CGCGUAGGCGGUUUACACAGUCAGGCGUGAAAUUCCUGGGCUUAACCUGGGGACUGCGCUUGAUACGGCGAGGCUUGAGGCCGAGAGAGGGUGGUGGAAUUCCCAGUGUAGAGGUGAAAUUCGUAGAUAUUGGGAAGAACACCGGUGGCGAAGGCGACCACCUGGCUCGGUACUGACGCUGAGGCGCGACAGCGUGGGGAGCAAACAGGAUUAGAUACCCCUGUA
rnacentral:rRNA from 1 species